GCGCUUGUAGCUCAGCUGGAUAGAGCGUUGCCCUCCGGAGGUAAAGGUCGUGGGUUCGAAUCCCCUCAAGCGCA
rnacentral:tRNA from 1 species